GUGACUAUAGAGGAACGUGGCUGUCCAACGGAAGUCCGCUGCAGAGAAGACUCCCAGCGACCGACCGUUCAGAUCUGCGACCUCAUAGGAACUGGUUCCUCUCUUUGCGACGAUGACACACGGACUGUACUGUGGACCCAACUUCGCAUUGAAGUCCUUCCCGGCGACUGAUUGAGCAAAGCUCCGUUUGAACACGCGCUGUCCGACAGUGAAAGAAGGUUUUGCCUCACCAACUCUAAAUUCUUCCUACUGAUGUUCUUCAUCCGAUUAGCUCGAUCCUCUUCGGAGAGCUCACUCUCUUCCUCUAGCCGGUAAUCUGACCCGCGAGUAAUCAUCUCAUUUCCGAAGAUCACACGAUGAGGGCCUCAUCGAUUGCAUCAACGGAUUGCGAGAACGAUGGACGAAUGCCAAAGGCUCGCCAAAAGUCAUACCCUAGAAUGCAACGACGAUUUAAGCCAGGAGCAACCAUAACAGGUAUCGAAUCAAUAUUCGCCGCCAGCAUUGCUAUGCGACAGUCCUCUCGGGUGUUUCGGAAAAGAACAUCAAAUUUCCGUUUUUCAUCCCACGGAGUGGACAUGCUACGGAAGAUCCGGACCAUGUCCAAGUAAAAGUCCUGGAACUUCUCCCUGGCACCUUGCUUCCGGUUUCCAGCUUGCCGUUCAUAGACAUAAUCGAUGUCGACAGAUUAACUCUCAGGGUUCUUUCGGACGCACUUCGCGACGACUCUACCGGCAAACCGCGGAUCUUUAGCUCAUGUUCCAGCUCAUCCACCGUUAGAUGACUAGGAUUCAUCGCAUGGUAUUUGGACAACAAUCGAGGCAUCUCCAUCUCGGACAUUCUACCAAAAAUCGGAUUGAAAAAUUUAAAAAGAAACUAGAAAACUGGUCUAGCUGUACUUAUAAUAAGCAAAUUUGAAAAUCCUAAUUGAAAAACACUUUCGUUGCUUGAAAGCUGAAAACAGUAAUUGAAAAAAAACCUAAAAUUUGUUCACGCUCCCUAUGAAGCAAUUAAUUUUUUUUUAAAUCCUAGUUUUAGCUCGC